UGCUCUCAACUGUCACAGCAGCAGUGCGUGGCAUGGAUGCUAGCACAUCUGUCAUGCUCCUAAUCAACAUGAGGAAAUAGGUCCUCUUCUCCAAAGGUCAUAGAUCUGCACGCAGGGGUAAAAAUCAGAACUGGAAAUUGAAUUAAUAUAUCCAGCAAAAUCACUGGCAAGAAUAAAAGCAUCUGAAGAAUUUCUUUACUAAUAAUACAACUUUAAUUUCAGUAUAGUAAUGACCUUCAACGAUGCUGAAAUCUCAACUUAAACAAAUCAGUAUAGAUUAACACGAGAGGAUUAGCUACUCCACUUGUCAAAGAACCAAUUUUAAAGUGUAUGUGUGAUAUCACAUAGGUUUCUGAAUUUGUCAUUACGCUAAACAGUGCAAACUAGCUACAUGGAAUUAAAAAAUAAAGCUGACACCGAUUUCCACAAUAGAAAGUUAGAGCUGAAAUUGUAGUCAAGUAAAUGGAUCUCUAUACAUACCAAUGAUAAUAACCAGUGAGAAUCAUGAGCAUAUUCACAGUUUGUAA
rnacentral:lncRNA from 1 species